UUCCAGCUCCAAUAGCAUAUAUUAAAGUUGUUGCAGUUAAAAAGCUCGUAGUUGGAUUUCUGGGAGGGAACUGAUGUCCGCUUGUUAGCGUGUGCAAAAGUUCCCUCCCAUCCUUCUGUUAACGAUUCUUGGUAUUCACUUACUGGUUUCGAGCUCAGAUAUUUUACCUUGAGAAAAUUAGAGUGUUUCAGGCAGGCUCGCGCCGGAAUACAUUAGCAUGGAAUAAUAGAAUAGGACGUUUGACUCCUUU
rnacentral:rRNA from 1 species